rnacentral:tRNA from 1 species
GCGGGGAUGAGUUUGGCUGGUGCUGAAUGCAGCCUUCAAAGCUGUAGCUACUGUUCGGUAGAGAGGAUCGAUUCCUCCUUUCCCGC